rnacentral:rRNA from 1 species
GAUGGACGCUGGCGGCGUGCCUAAUACAUGCAAGUCGAGCGAACAGACGAGAAGCUUGCUUCUCUGAUGUUAGCGGCGGACGGGUGAGUAACACGUGGAUAACCUACCUAUAAGACUGGGAUAACUUCGGGAAACCGGAGCUAAUACCGGAUAAUAUUUUGAACCGCAUGGUUCAAAAGUAAAAGACGGUCUUGCUGUCACUUAUAGAUGGAUCCGCGCUGCAUUAGCUAGUUGGUAAGGUAACGGCUUACCAAGGCAACGAUGCAUAGCCGACCUGAGAGGGUGAUCGGCCACACCGGAACUGAGACACGGUCCAGACUCCUACGGGAGGCAGCAGUAGGGAAUCUUCCGCAAUGGGCGAAAGCCUGACGGAGCAACGCCGCGUGAGUGAUGAAGGUCUUCGGAUCGUAAAACUCUGUUAUUAGGGAAGAACAUAUGUGUAAGUAACUGUGCACAUCUUGACGGUACCUAAUCAGAAAGCCACGGCUAACUACGUG